rnacentral:rRNA from 1 species
UACGUACGAGGCGAGCGUUAUCCGGAAUUAUUGGGCGUAAAGCGCGCGCAGGCGGAUUCGUAAGUUGGGCGUGAAAUCUCCCGGCCUAACUGGGAGGGGUCGCCCAAGACUGCGAGUCUUGAGGACCGCAGAGGUGGGUGGAAUUCCUGGUGUAGUGGUGAAAUGCGUAGAGAUCAGGAGGAACACCGGUGGCGAAGGCGGCCCACUGGGUGGUCACUGACGCUGAGGCGCGAAAGCUCGGGGAGCGAACGGG